GAUGAACGCUGGCGGCGUGCCUAAUACAUGCAAGUCGAGCGAACGGACGAGAAGCUUGCUUUUCUGAUGUUAGCGGCGGACGGGUGAGUAACACGUGUAUAACCUACCUAUAAGACUGGGAUAACUUCGGGAAACCGGAGCUAAUACCGGAUAAUAUUUUGAACCGCAUGGUUCAAAAGUGAAAGACGGUCUUGCUGUCACUUAUAGAUGGAUCCGCGCUGCAUUAGCUAGUUGGUAAGGUAACGGCUUACCAAGGCAACGAUGCAUAGCCGACAUGAGAGGGUGAUCGGCAACACUGGAACUGAGACACGGUCAAGACUCCUACGGGAGGCAGCAGUAGGGAAUCUUCCGCAAUGGGCGAAAGCAUGACGGAGCAACGCCGCGUGAGUGAUGAAGGUCUUAGGAUCGUAAAACUCUGUUAUUAGGGAAGAACAUAUGUGUAAGUAACUGUGCACAUAUUGACGGUACCUAAUCAGAAAGCAACGGCUAACUACGUG
rnacentral:rRNA from 1 species